AAAAAGUCAAAUCAUGGAUUUCCGUAUUCAAUUUUGACUGUCCGUCUUAUAUAAAUUUUUUUUAUAAUUCGUAUUUUUAUUGUUGUUAGAUGAUAAGAUAUGAUUAAUAUUUUAUGCGUGACUUGUUUUUUUAAUUUUUUUUCAUAAUUUUUCAAAUAAGACGGACGGUCAAACGUUAGACACGGAAACCUGGGUUUGUCUUUUUU
rfam:Oryza sativa Japonica Group DNA, chromosome 3, cultivar: Nipponbare, complete sequence.